UACGGAGGAUGCAAGCGUUAUCCGGAAUGACUGGGCGUAAAGCGUCCGCAGGUGGCAAUGUAAGUCUGCUGUCAAAGCGUCUGGCUCAACCAGAUAAAGGCAGUGGAAACUACAUAGCUAGAGUAAGGUAGGGGUAGAGGGAAUUCCUGGUGUAGCGGUGAAAUGCGUAGAGAUCAGGAAGAACAUCGGUGGCGAAAGCGCUCUGCUGGACUGCAACUGACACUCAGGGACGAAAGCUAGGGGAGCGAAUGGG
rnacentral:rRNA from 1 species